AUUGAACGCUGGCGGCAUGCCUUACACAUGCAAGUCGAACGGUAACAGAUCUUCGGAUGCUGACGAGUGGCGAACGGGUGAGUAAUACAUCGGAACGUGCCUAGUAGUGGGGGAUAACUACUCGAAAGAGUGGCUAAUACCGCAUGAGAUCUACGGAUGAAAGCAGGGGAUUGCAAGACCUUGUGCUACUAGAGCGGCCGAUGGCAGAUUAGGUAGUUGGUGGGAUAAAAGCUUACCAAGCCGACGAUCUGUAGCUGGUCUGAGAGGACGAUCAGCCACACUGGGACUGAGACACGGCCCAGACUCCUACGGGAGGCAGCAGUGGGGAAUUUUGGACAAUGGGCGCAAGCCUGAUCCAGCAAUGCCGCGUGCAGGAUGAAGGCCUUCGGGUUGUAAACUGCUUUUGUACGGAACGAAAAGCCCUGGGUUAAUACCCUGGGGUCAUGACGGUACCGUAAGAAUAAGCACCGGCUAACUACGUGCCAGCAGCCGCCGUAACAC
rnacentral:rRNA from 1 species